rnacentral:rRNA from 1 species
GCUGGUUCUCUCCGAAAUAGCUUUAGGGCUAGCCUCAAGUGAUGAUUAUUGGAGGUAGAGCACUGUUUGGACGAGGGGCCCUUCUCGGGUUACCGAAUUCAGACAAACUCCGAAUGCCAAUUAAUUUAACUUGGGAGUCAGAACAUGGGUGAUAAGGUCCGUGUUCGAAAGGGAAACAGCCCAGACCACCAGCUAAGGUCCCA